CCUGGCUUCUCAAAAACAGAUUUUAUUUACAGGGAAAUACAAGCCAUACAAACUUCCAUGUAUGUAUAAACCUUGACAUCAAUGUGAAGACGGUAGAAUCCAACUCUCUGCCAUUCCCUUCUACAUAAACACCACAUUAUAUUACAUUACAAGUUCUGAGAGGGAGAAACACCAAAAACCAAAUGAAAGCAAGUCAGCUUUACAGAGAACUCUGUCAAAAUCUUGAAGUUAAAAGGUAACCAACUAUUUAGCAGUUGAGGAAAGAGGAAUCACACAAGCCGUCUUUUGAAGUUUCGAGUGGUUGCUUGAUAUGUACGAACUAGCAAACCAACUCCUAUACCAAUUCCAAGACAAACGCCGAGUCCAAUUCCUACGCCAACCCUCACACCAGCGUUGAACCAUGAUAGUUCACCAUCUUCACCCUCCAUAUAU
rnacentral:misc_RNA from 1 species